UCUGAAGAACUGUAAUGCCAUUAAUUUGGUGUUGCAGGGAAACAGGACUGUUACUUUGAAAAAAUUAGAGUCGUUUAAAGCAGGCUAACGCUUGAAUACAUUAGCAUGGAAUAAUGAAAUAGGACGUUUGAUCCUAUUUUGUUGGUUUCUAGGAUUGACGUAAUGAUUAAUAGGGAUAGUUGGGGGCAUUAGUAUUCAAUUGUCAGAGGUGAAAUUCUUGGAUUUAUUGAAGACUAACUACUGCGAAAGCAUUUGCCAAGGAUGUUUUCAUUAAUCAAGAACGAAAGUUAGGGGAUCGAAGACGAUCAGAUACCGUCGUAGUCUUAACCAUAAACUAUGCCGACUAGGGAUCGGAUGAUGUUAAUUUUUUAAUGACUCAUUCGGCGCCUUACG
rnacentral:rRNA from 1 species